rnacentral:hammerhead_ribozyme from 1 species
AUCCAGCUGACGAGUCCCAAAUAGGACGAAAUGCGCGCUAUUCUGGAU